CUUUGUUGGAGAAGCAGGGUACGUGCAACGAUAGAAACGACGAGUUGUUGUUUAUUGCACGUGCUCUACCUCUCCAACGUAGA
rnacentral:ncRNA from 2 species